UACGAAGGGUGCAAGCGUUACUCGGAAUUACUGGGCGUAAAGCGUGCGUAGACGGUUAUUUAAGUCGGGUGUGAAAGCCCCGGGCUCAACCUGGGAAUUGCAUUCGAGACUGAAUAGCUAGGGUACGGUAGAGGGAAGUGGAAUUUCCGGUGUAGCGGUGAAAUGCGUAGAUAUCGGAAGGAACAUCAGUGGCGAAAGCGACUUCCUGGACCAGUACCGACGUUCAGGCACGAAAGCGUGGGGAGCAAACAGG
rnacentral:rRNA from 1 species